GGGGCUCUCUUGUUGUGUUUCCUAGUGUCAGAUGAAGGCUUGUUUAUAUGAAACCGGCGCUGGGAACCCGGACUGUUGGGAUUGAAAACCCCAAGGUCUGAGGGGAGCCUGAGAAUUGCCAGUCCCUACAGACUAGCCGAGGCUCUGCGCCAGGGGCUCGUUAGCUCUGAGCGUCUGUCGUUGAGGCUUCGGCGGUCUCUCCGCCCACCUGCUUAAUGCUGGCCUCUGUCCCCACCGUACUCCUGCACUCCUGCACAAUGUUUGGACCCAACAACAACUAUUGACCUUAUGUCUGGUGACUGGCUUGAAAAGAUGUGCUGGAACCCAACUGGAUGCCCUUCUCAGAAGGUGGACCUAAGAGGCACAUACGGAAAGGAGGAGUUGAUGGUGGGAGCUGAGGAUGGAGACUCAUAUUGACUAAGCAGUAUGUGGCAGCUGUGUUGGAACCACGAGGGGAAAAAAGAGGAAGUGAGUCCAAAGAGGUGAAUGGGCAGAUGCAUAGGCAGAAACUGUCUACAACUUGCUGUCUCUUGUGAGGAAGAGCUCUUCAAAUUCUUCUGGAUUCGUGGAAGAUCCUUUAACCGUGACACAAAAGAGAAGAAAAUAUAGCUGCAUGAUGGUAGUACACAGUUUUCAGGCCUUUGGAGGAGACUUUAACCAUGGGACUCCUGGACCAUCUUCAAAGCCAAGUUUCUAGAAAGCAUCGUACAUCAUACUCUGUGUUUUACUGUCUCAUCGCCUACUCCUUCUCCAUUCUGCAGUCCAGUAUCUGUGGUUGCCAUCUACCCCUUGAAGCAGCUCUCCCCUCGGACCUCACCAGCUUCCUGCUACUCCAUCCAGUGGACUCGAGCCGUCCUCAUCAUUCUUGGCUUCCCACUGCCACUUGACAUUUGGGGCCUCUUCCUCCUUUAAACCCUUCCUUUCUCCAGUGUCUGCAGCACCACAGCCCUGGGCAGCUCUGACACGGGGUGUGGGUGUGGGCGGGUGCAAGGGAGAGGUGCAUGAUGAGACAGCUUCGUCUCCAUCUUCCGUAGGAGGAGGUCGGAAAUCAUAUGAUGGCCCAAAUUGAAAAACCAAUCAAAAAUCAUAUAAGCAUAUUAUUGAGAAUUAUGGAAGUAAAUGCCCCAAAAGACUAACUUAAAAGUUUGAACUUUGCAGGGCUGGAUUAGGAGACCGUUGCCGUUUAAACCAAUGCUUACUGUACAACUGACAAAACCAAAAUUAAGUGAGGAAAAUAAGUAAAACAGAUCAAACCAGAGCUGCUCUGCUUGGGCUAGGAGGUUGACCCCGGCCCCCGCCUAUGCCUGGGACUCUCACAGCAUAACUGGAAACGAGGCAAACCAUGGUUUCAAGAAAUUCCCAGGAAACGAGAGAUAACUGCCAAAAAAAGCCUUCCAUGAGAAACAGCUGCUUGGACUACAAUUAGUGUCUGUGGUUCAGGAUGGGAGACUUUUGCUGCAUUUAAUUUCUAUGAAGCUAAUGCAGACAUCUCUCUUUUGCGGUGUAUUUUGCAUUCAGAACCUAGAAGACGCUGGAGUCUCUCCUCCAGGCUGGAGUGCCUGAAACCCAUGAAUUGUCAUGGCCCCCAUGUUAGAGAAGCUGUGUUUUUUUAAGGUGUUUUCUCCUUUCUGAAGAUGUGCCUUCCUGGUCCUGCAUCUCGGCCCUGCAUUCACAGGGAUGUGAGGGGGGAGGGCUUGAUGAAGCGCACAGGAAAAAGCUGUUCCCAGACAAUAUGGAGAUUUUUUUCUGACAAUAUGUAGAAUUUUUCAGACACAAUCUUGGCCAGUUUAAAUCAAGGAAAUUGCAUAUUUUGGUUAGGUGCCUCCCAGGCCAGGUUUUCACACAGAUUUCCAGCAAUGUCGAUGCAUGUAUAUAAUUAUAGUAUCUUUCAAUGAGGAAGAGGCUGCAGGAAGGUGCUAAUGCAACAUGCUGCAGUUAGAAACCCUUUCAGCCGGAAAUCAUGUAGACGACGGACAUAUUUUUACCAUCUUAUUUCAGCCACAUGCAAAAUAUGUCUUUUUUAAGCCUUAGGAAUUUAUAUAUUUAUAAAAUCUGCGAAAGGGAGCAUUACAUGGGGGUUCUGCCCCAGGGGUUUCCAGGCGCACCUCUUUCUGUGGGGUUUGUAACAGGGAAGAAUUUUUUGGAGGUGUGUCCCCACGGUUUGUCCUUUAUCUGAGAACUCUCACACCCACUGCUGUUCCCAGGAGCGAGCCUGGCCCCACUUUCCCCCCACACAGGAGCCCUCGCAGAGCCACAGGACAGAGAGCUGGCCAACCCAUAGGAAGCACUCCAGAGGCUGAGCCAAUUGUUGUGUCCACCCUGGGGGUUUGGAAUUGAACACCUAGAGACAGGGUUAGUUAGUAUAGGUACCAAAUGUGUUAGGGUCAUCAAAAGACCAACCAUGUUUUGGCUGGUCUGCAGAGAGGGGGAGAGAGGCAAAAGCAGAUAUGCUGGAGAAGCAGAGAUGAGCACUCUCAUGUGUUGAGGGAGACCGACAGAGGCCAGGAGAUAGAGAUUAAAUGACAGAAAGAUGGGAGGACAAAGACAGUAAGAAAAAAAGACGAGAGAGAGAGAGAGACAGAGAGGCAUAGACUGAGAGAGACAAAGGGAUCUGAAGACCCACCUUGGUUCCCCACACGUCCCCCUACCCCCAGGCCAGGCUGCCCCUCUGCCCAGAUCUGGGAGCCAGUCCUGCCAACAUCAGGUAAAUCACCACUUUUUUCUUAGCCUGCUGGAAGGGAAUCUGCCCCACUCGGCACAAGCCCUAGGUGAGUGACCAGACAGUGCUUGACAUUGAAGGGAGCUAGGGCUGCUGCUUUGUGUCUGUUCUGGCAAUUUAUUUUUAUCCUUUUUGGGGGAGGGGGUGUUCAGUGCUAUUUUUCCCCUAGAGGGAUUAAGCAUGUGAGUCAGUAUAAUAAAACUUGCUAAGUAUG